AAUAGUUUUUUAAAUGGAAACUGGGAUGAAUGGAAGGAUGAAAUUUAUACUUUCUUAAAUUAAAUUUUUAAAUUUAUUAAUUAAGUAAAAAUACUUAAAUAAGUACAUGGGACGAGAAGACCCUAUAGAAUUUUAUAUAAAUUCAAUAAAAAAUUUAAUAUUGAAUGUAGUGAAUUUAUAUUUUAUUGGGAGGAUAGUUAAAUUUAAAAAACUUUAGAAGUAUGAAACCAUUAAUUUAUGAAAUAAGUAGUAAGAAUGAUAUAUAUAUUUAAGUAGAAUUAAUUACCUUAGGGAUAACAGCGUUAUAUUUUUAGAGAGUUCUUAUCAAUAAAAGUGAUUGC
rnacentral:rRNA from 1 species